GCCUACGGGGGGCAGCAGUGGGGAAUAUUGCACAAUGGGGGAAACCCUGAUGCAGCAACGCCGCGUGAGUGAAGAAGUAUCUCGGUAUGUAAAGCUCUAUCAGCAGGGAAGAAAAUGACGGUACCUGACUAAGAAGCCCCGGCUAACUACGUGCCAGCAGCCGCGGUAAUACGUAGGGGGCAAGCGUUAUCCGGAUUUACUGGGUGUAAAGGGAGCGUAGACGGGGUGGCAAGUCUGAAGUGAAAGCCCGGGGCUCAA
rnacentral:rRNA from 1 species